GUAGGUGAAAACCAUAGAAAAGAGUCAAUCUAAAAUGGAUGAUGAUGGUCCAUCAGAGAAUUCCUCUGAAUAUUCAACUCAUUUUACUCUCUCCCUUGAUAAAAAAAGUGAAAUCUUCUGUGAUUUGUUUGUCUUUUUUUUUUUUUAAUUUGAAGAUAAUAUAAAGAUUUUGGGAAUUUCACUUUCUAGGGAAUAGGGAUCUAGGGUUUUACUCGAUCAACAUGUAAAUUAGCAUUAUCUUAAAUUUUGGAACUAACAUUAUUUGGGAUUAAAAUUUUAUUUUCCUUUUUUGUUCAAAAAAAAGUGUUAAAAAGCUAAUAGAAAUGCCCAAAAUUUUCGGAAUUGUUGUUUGUUUUCUUGGAAAAAGAUUUGGUAAUUUCGCACUCACAAUUGGCUCGGAGCAGAGAGAGGGAUCUAGGGAUUUACUCGAUCAAACAUGCUUCUCAAUCAAUGCGGAGCGGAGACGACGAUAGAAGAUUCCAUGGAAGGAUCUUCUUUAAUGUUUGUAUAUUCUUACCUGACAAAGCGUAAGGCCGAGUUCGACGCGGAGGAGUUAGAAGAAAGCGAUGAAGGACUCGGAGAUGAGAAAGUCAAAAUUGACGAGCGUGAGGCUGAUAAAGCGCUCUUAGAGGAGCAUGAGUGGGAUAUGGACGGCUCCGACGGUUUAGAGUAUCAUUCCUCCACGAAUUCGGACCACUCAUCGGUGGAUUUGAAAAGUAACGCGAGAAAGCGUAAGGCCGAGUUCGAGUUCGAGGAGGAGGAGGAGGAAGAGAGCGAUGAUGAAGAAGAAGGCGUUGAUGAUGGGAGAGGCAAGAUAGAGGAGGAGCCUGAGGCUAGAAUAGAUUACUUGAAGGCGCCUGAAUGGGAUGUGGACAGCUUUGAUGGUUUAGAGUAUUAUUCCUCUCCUGAGCCAAUACUUUCCUCCGACGAGGAACUUUUCACCGAAGAAGAGAUGGAACACUAUCGCAUCUUUAAACGCCAGAUGAUCGAGAGCAAGGGAUUUUACGGGGAUCGUGAGCUUAGGCCAAGUUUUCAUUUCAAAGGAAUAAGUCCAAUGAAGUUGGAGCAGAGAGCCCUUCCCAAUCAAAACUACCGCCAGUUCUGGCAAGAGAUGGUUUAUGUUUGUCUCCAAAAACUCAACCAAGACAAGGAUUCGAAUGUGGAGUUCAUUGAAGUUGUGAGAGGUUAUUAUCGCCCAGGACCUAGAUCAAAGUCAUACAUUACCUUUAUGGCCAGGGAGAAGCCUGAUGGACCUCUUGUGGAGUAUCAAGCCAAGUGUAUGGUUACUUUGGACGGCGAGAGUCAUCCCAUCCUCUGUAGACCGGCUCCUACGUUAAUGCCUUGAUACCAAAAACUUGUUCAAUCAAUCAAGGUAUGGGCUUCUCUUAGCCAACUUGUGGCCUAUUGAACGGCGUAGACAGAGGGAAUUCUUCUGUUUCGGAAUGGACAUUCUGCUGAAACUAGACUUAGAGGCUACUAUGUUAUAGAGAAGAUUGGAGGACUCAAAAGGAUGGACUUGGCAAAGGGCGCUGUUAUAACAAGUCACAUUAUCUCGUUUCUAAUGAUCUAGUGGAUGCAACAUUUUAACUUGUGGUCUUAAUAGUUUCGUCUGUUUUUGUUUGGUUAUCAUGUGUCGACACUUCGGUAGUAUUUCUUUUCUUUUAGGUUUAGUGGUGCUUCCGUUGCUUUGGUUUCAGUUUGUUAGUCUAAAACUUGUGCUCAUUACUGCAAUAUUUGAGGGAGUAAAUCAAAGUAGUUUCUGAAAGAACGUUAACCAUUUUUUUU